rnacentral:misc_RNA from 1 species
UACGUAGGGGGCAAGCGUUAACCGGAAUUAUUGGGCGUAAAGCGCGCGCAGGCGGUCUUUUAAGUCUGAUGUGAAAGCCCCCGGCUCAACCGUGGAGGUGCAUUGGAAACUGGGAGACUAGAGUACAGUAGAGGAGAGUGGAAUUCCACGUGUAGCGGUGAAAUGCGUAGAUAUGUGGAGGAACACCAGUGGCGAAGGCGACUCUCUGGUCUGUAACUGACGCUGAGGCGCGAAAGCGUAGGGAGCAAACAGG